rnacentral:lncRNA from 1 species
AAUCCAACAAAUCCUACCCACAUUAUGGGCCCCAAAAUCCACAUCAAUUAAUAAGCCCACAUAAAAUAAAACACAUGGUAAAGAGAAACAAUAUUUCAAGCUCAAACAAAUAACAAUUUAACAAUAGGCCUAAGUCCCAAUAAACAAUAUACAAUUGAUAUAAUCUAAAUAUCCUCAAAUUAAUCACCAAAUACAAUAUGCCCACAAACCCAAAUUAACAAAUUUCAAAUUAAUUCAUUAACAAUAAAUUAAAUCAAAUUAUAUAUUAAUCUACCCACAACAAAUUAACCCCAAACUAAAAUAAAUUAAAAUAACAACAAUAACAAUAACAAUAAUAAUAAUAAUAAUAACGGAAACGGAUGAGAUGAAGAGGGGGUCGCCGGCCGGCGUCAUGCCACCGUCGUGGAGCGAGAGAAAAAAUGGAGAAAAAAAAUGAGGGAAGGAGAAGAGGAAAUGGGAGACUCGGCCACCUGAAAAAAAUGGAAAAAGAAAAGAAAAGAAAAAAAAACCAAAAUCCAAAGAGAGAAAUGAGAAAAGAGAGAAGAGGAAAGAGAUGAGAGGGUGGGUGUGUGGCCGGCCGGGAAGGGAAGUGGAGUGUGGGGAAAGAAAAGGAAAAAAAAAAUGGAGAGAAAGAAAAAUUCAUGGGGCUAUGUGUGUGUCUUGAAGAAUGAGGGGGGAAGAAGAAUGGAGGGGGCAGCAGAGAAAUGGUGGAAAAAAAAAAAAAAAAUCCCUCCCUCCCCCCUCCCCCCACGGGCUGGAGAUGGAAAAGGGGAAGAAAUGACGGGGAGGGCAGAAAGAUGGGGCCCACGGCUGCUGUUGGGGAGAGUCUCAAAAAUGGAGGAG